GGUCAAAGUCAAUAUUAAAGUUUGCAUCCUUCCACUGAUGACCUGAUGAAGUAAAAUUGGUCAAUAUCAAACAAGGGGUCAAUUAAAAAGGUCGCUGUAUCAGAGGUUAAGGUUCCUGAUGAAUGAUUUGUUAUCCCUUGAUGAAGAAAAAUUGGUAAGAAUUAAAGGAGUUACCGACAAUAGGUCAAUGUAACUAGAUCAAAUUCAAGGUCACUGGAUCAAGUCAAGGUAAUUUGUUUUAAUGAUGAACCUUUUGUUAUGAUACUAUUAAGCUGACUAAAUGUCAAGGUCACUGGUUCAAAAAUCAACGUAACAUUUUGUAUAUUAUCACUGAUUAACAUUUUGUUAUAAUAUUAUGAAUCAAAGAGUCAUCUGGCCAAAGUUCAAGGUCAUGGCAUCAAAUUUUACUUCGAUAUCUUUUUGUAAUUGAAUCUGAUACAAAAUUCAUGAAUGGCUGACAUUUCUGUAAUAUCUCUCGAACGUUUUAUAUGUACGAUUUCCUUGUUAUCAGAUCAUUAUCUUGAGAAAAAAUCAUCCUCAGAACAAUAACAGAUUAUUCAAUAGUGUGCGCCAAGAUCCCUUAUUAAACUUUUGUUUGUGAUAACCAUAAUUCUCAACUAGAGUUUACCUUAACACAUACACUCAUUUAUGUUGUAAUAAUUACUGUAUUGUAAAUAUUUGUGAAAAUACAUUCAUUGCUUAUGAAUCAUGAUGAAUGUUCAUGUUCCAAGAAUGAAUUCGUCUCAAAAUUCAUUUUUCUUGGGAAUCUUUGAAAUAAGUCAAGGUGACACUGGGUAAGAGGCAAAGGUCACAUUUUGUACUUUUUAUGGAUGAACAUUUUGUGAUUACCAUUAUUCUCAACUAGAGAAUGCAGACAUUUUGUAUAUAGAUAUUUACCUGAAUACACAUGAUCUCAUUUAUGUUGUAAUAAUUACUGUAAUGUAAAUAUUUGUGAGAAUACAUUCAUUGCCUGUGAAUCAUGAUGAAAGUUCAUGUUCCAAGAAUGAAUUUGUCACAAAAUUUAUUUUCUUGAGAGUCUUUAAAACAUGUCUUUUUUUGUAAUUAGAUGAUUAGUUUGAAUAUGUGUACACUGUAUUUAUAAGGUUGAUGUUUCUGUCUAUCAGGGGAGAUAAUCAGUAGAGAUUCACAUUUCAAUAAACUGUAUUGAUCCUAUUGUACCUACAAUGUAUUAAGAAUUUAUAUUUGAUAAUCCAUUAAAUAUGUUAUAUAUAUCAGCUAGAUACUGAUAAUGAGAAAUACGAGAGGAUCAGUGAACUUUGAUUUAAGUUCAAGUGGAAGCUUUACUUUUAGACUUUAAGACAAGUUUAUUAAAUGUGCAUCAACCUGUGUCGAUGGGAACAUUUAUGCUUAUACAGCAUUUGGAAUUUCAAAAGCACAUUUAAUAUUUUCUGUUUGAUUGAUAAGUUUGAGCUCAAGUGAGCUUAUGCCAUACCGUUGCAUCCGUCGUCCAUCCGUUUGUCGUCCGUCAGUUCAACAAUUGAUCUUUCCUUCAUAACCACUGAUCGGAAUUUGACCAAAUUUGGGUUGACCCCCGUGGUCCUGAGGGGCAGGGCCAAAAGAGGUCAAUUUGUUUAAACAACUUCUCUGAAACUAAGCAAUGGAAAUAGCUCAAAUUUGACUGGUAGCAACCUUUUGGGGUAGGGAUUCAAAGUCACUUCAUAGAUUAGUUGUACUUUCUGACAUAAAAGCUUCAUUUGUAUGGUAGCUUAACCCCUAGGUGUCAAAGUCUUAAUUUACCAAUUCUAAUCGCUUUUUUUCCGUCGUCGUCCGUAAAAAA